CAGAUGUUUUUGGACAAACGGAAACCGGAGGACUUGCCACCAGCAGAUCUGAGCUGAGGCCGGAGGGAGGUGGUCCAGGCACAGGUGCCGGAGGAAAAGGAGGCAGCUAGGAAGCCCUCCAGAUGUUUGGGAUUUAAGUGCCAGGCUUCCACGGGGCCCACGAGUCAAAGAAGCAGAUGCGCCAAGGAGUGAUCGAGACCCACGCAUGUGUCCCAAACUGGAAAGAGGAUGUUCGGUGCGACUGGGGGCUUGUGGCUGCAGGUGGCUCUCUGGCCUCCCUCCAGUGAUGAAGCAUCACCUCAGCCAGUUCAGACCAGGCGGUGAGGGAAAGACAGCCCUAAGGACACCUUCCGAGCUCCUGGAGGCAGCCAAGCCUGAGCCCUUCCCCAGGCCCGUUCACAUCCGCCAGCUGGUAAUACCCCUUCCCGCUGUUUGCAUAAGAACACCAUGUUGCAAAGAACAUUCUUUUACACA